AUUCUGGCUCUAAAUAAAUAAAUACAUUCAUUCAUUCAUUCAUUCAUUCAUUCAACAUGAGGUUUUGGAGGGACAAACACCUAAACCAUAGCACUCGCGAAAGGCAAUACCUUCUGUAUUAGUUAGUAAUUGUUGCAUAACAAACCACUCCAAAGCUCAGUGAAGUAAACCAAGUACCAUUUAUUUAGCUCACUGUUUUGUGGGUCAGCAAAUUAGGCUGGGCUGAGCUAGACUUACUUGUAUACCUGUGGUCAGCUAGACAGCUUCACCUCUGGAGUAGUAGCUGACCGGUGCAAGGACCUUCAGGGUGACUGGAGUCUGUGCCUUUCUUUCAUUACCCAGCAGGCUGGCCUAAAGUUGUCACAUGUUGUUUGAGAGGGUUUCAAGAGAGAGAAGCCUAUAAAUCAUCUUGAGUUAUAGGCUGGGAGCUUAUGUAAUAUCCCUUCCUCCACAUUCUGUUAGCCAAAGCAUGUCACAAUGCCAGCCCAGGUCCCGCGGGGUGGAGAAGCGGGCUAGUAAGCCACGGAACUUCUCAUUGUCAACCCCAAAUCACCCUCGAAGACCGUAGUCAGAUCACCACCUCAGGCUGUGUUGUGUGCCUGUGCUCUGGGUUCUCUCUCUCACUGCAUUUAGAACAUUAUGUGGCCGCUGUUGGUUUAUUUCUUGGUGGAAAGUGAGCCUCUUAAAAACAAGGACUGUGUUUCAACCCAGGAUUUGGCUUGUAGAGUAGGUAACGAAAAGCUGAAGUUGUUAUGAAAGUAGAGUUCAGACCACUGAUAUCUGGCAGCGUGGAAAUUGGGAUUAAAGAUAAUGUUCAGCCGUCUGUAUAUCUCCCCAGAUACCUGAAACUGACCACCUGAGUACGUUUUCCCAUUGCUGAGCUGUUUGCCUGAUAUCUGGCCAUGCAACGGAGAUCAAGAGGGAUAAAUACUGGACUUAUUCUACUCCUUUCUCAAAUCUUCCAUGUUGGGAUCAACAAUAUUCCACCUGUCACCCUAGCAACUUUGGCCCUCAACAUCUGGUUCUUCUUGAACCCUCAGAAGCCACUGUAUAGCUCCUGCCUUAGUGUGGAGAAGUGUUACCAGCAAAAAGACUGGCAGCGUUUACUGCUCUCUCCCCUUCACCAUGCUGAUGAUUGGCAUUUGUAUUUCAAUAUGGCAUCCAUGCUCUGGAAAGGAAUAAAUCUAGAAAGAAGACUGGGAAGUAGAUGGUUUGCCUAUGUUAUCACCACAUUUUCUGUACUUACUGGAGUGGUAUACCUGCUCUUGCAAUUUGCUGUUGCCGAAUUUAUGGAUGAACCUGACUUCAAAAGGAGCUGUGCUGUAGGGUUCUCAGGAGUUUUGUUUGCUUUGAAAGUUCUUAACAACCAUUAUUGCCCUGGAGGCUUUGUCAACAUUUUGGGCUUUCCCGUACCGAACAGAUUUGCUUGUUGGGUCGAACUUGUGGCUAUUCAUUUAUUCUCACCAGGGACUUCCUUCGCUGGGCAUCUGGCUGGGAUUCUUGUUGGACUAAUGUACACUCAAGGGCCUCUGAAGAAAAUCAUGGAAGCAUGUGCAGGCGGUUUUUCCUCCAGUGCUGGUUACCCAGGACGGCAAUACUACUUUAAUAGUUCAGGCAGCUCUGGAUAUCAGGAUUAUUAUCCGCAUGGCAGGCCGGAUCACUAUGAAGAAGCACCCGGGAACUAUGACACGUACACAGCAGGACUGAGUGAAGAAGAACAGCUCGAGAGAGCAUUACAAGCCAGCCUCUGGGACCGAGUAGAGACAGGAUUUCACCGUGUUAACCAGGAUGGUCUUGAUCUCCUGACCUCAUGAUCCACCCUCCUCGGCCUCCCAAAGUGCUGGGAUUACAGGCGUGAGCCACCGUGCCCAGCCGUUGUGAUCAUCUUGAAUUCAGAAAACUGAAAACUCAGAGGAAAUACCAGAAAUAGCCCACCACCCUACGGGUUUCAUCUCUCACCAGAAGAAAUGAGGAGACAGCGGCUUCACAGAUUCGAUAGCCAGUGAGGUGGCAUCUUGGGAAGACAUGGCCUAUUUGUGUAAUUAUUGCCCAUUUGGCUCAUUCCCCAAGCCCCUAAUUCAUUUUAAUUCAUUUUAAACAAAAGCAGAGUACACCGGUAUUGCUCCAGAUCGCUCACAUCACCUGGGACAGUCCCAUGGCCCCUAUGAGUCAACUCACAGCUUGUGGGGAGUGGGCCUUCUCCCGGCCUUGUUCUUGCUCAUAAACAGGUCACUUCCUCCAUGAAGAGACCAGUUUCCACCCUCCCUUCUCUCACUGCUGACUCAGCGAUGCCUCUGCCUCGGUCUGCUUUUGAAGACUGUGACCUUCACCAGGAGGUUUUACUUACACCAGUCGGGAAGAUUAGUCCCUCAUUCUGCCUGGAGUGCCCCGUGUUUGACUUGGCAGCGGGUGUGGAGCCAUCCCCGCGUCCUCCUGGCGCAUUGCCACUGCGGCUGUCCAGGAACAGGAUGUGGCUGCCUUGGCCGAAUGUUGUCCUACUCUCCCCAACCCUGGCGCCUCAGCUCCUCAGCUCCUCGGGCCCCUGCGUCUGGCUGGUGUUUGCAGGGCUUUCGCUCUGCUCUGGUAUUGCUCUGCCUUUAUAGAAAGUCUUAUUGAAGAAGUGUAAGAAAGACCUAAGGUGGGGAAGACUCCUACACACACCAUUAGUAUCAGUGACACCAGCAAUGUAGGUUCCCAGCCCCUUCCCAGUGGCAGCUUGUGUGUCCAGGAGAUAGGACGUCAUUUAACGCAUCAGCAAAGUAGCAGCAGAUGCCACAUACAGAGUAGAGCGAAGGCAUUUGGUGGAUCGGUCACUAGAGAUCUAUCUUGCAGAAAGUAUGUUUUUCCUCAUAAAAGUGCCUCUUAAUUGGCCAUUGUACCAGCCACUUGUCCUAGCCAAAUGUCCAAAACACGCCCUUGGGCCCCGCCACGUUACAAUCCACAGAUUGUCUGUCUGAGUCGUUUAAGGCAUUUCCUGGUGCUUGUGUUCCAUGAAUAAAAGGAUGAAGUCAGAAGAUCACUGAUGUCUUACUGUCAACAGAGAUAUUUUAAAAGAGAGAAGCAGGAAAAGAUCUUCCUUUUUUGAUCUGCAACUUAUAUAGUUUUCUGAUUAUGCACAUAAUAGAUAUGCCUUCCAGAUGCAUAAGGCAAACAUCUGGAAAGAAAUAUACCCAAAUCUUAGCAGGGGUUAUCUUUGGGAGUGGAGUACAUGGGAUUUUGCUUUCUUCAUUUUUAUAAUUUUAUAUUACUCUCUUGGAAGAUGUGUUUAUGUGUGUGUGUUACUUUUACAAUCAGGAAAACAUUUAUAUAAUAACAAAUAUAUAGUCAAGAAAACAGACUUAAAAAUAAAUACUAUGUGUCCAUUGAGAAAAUUCACAAUAUAAACAGAAAUACAAAUAAAUACAUACACAAUUUUAAAGUCACCUGUAGCCCUACCCUUAGAGGUACCCAGGGUUAACAUUUUGGUGGUAUUGUCUUAUCAAUUUUUCUGUUGAUACAUUCAGCAAAUUUGGAGCAUAUUGACCAUGGAGUUUUGUGCCCAAAUCCAAUCUGAAUUUACCUGGAAGAGGCCUUGACACCUGCAUGGAAAUGAGCUAAGAAAACCACUGGAGCCUUGGGAGCUCUUUGGCCUCCUGGCUGGCCCAGUAAUAUCUGAGCUCCUUUGGUUAAUUUAUAACUGAUGUAAAACUACAUCUUCUUUAUAAUAUAAAUGGUACCUGUGAGUCUAGAAGCUUUAAAUGUGUUUAAAUUAAAAUAUUCAAGCUAAAUGUUACUGCUCUCUCCCAAAUUCUGUAAGUUUGACUCCCGUUACCCCAAUUAGAAGUAACUUCUUUCUUUCAUGCCACUUUUAUAGCAUUUGGUAAUUCUGCUAUGACACAUCUUGCCCCUAUUAUUAACUGUGCACAGCUACACAAAGGUGUGCCUUCUACGUGGGAACAUGGAUUGUGAAUGACUCUGUAAUGAGGCCUGAGUCUUAGUUAUCUUUCCACUCACUCCCCGUCUCCCCUUUCCAACCUCAAAGGCUCACGACAGGGGCUCAUUACAUGUCAGUAUUUCACCAAAGUAUUUUUUCCAUUGUAUUAAGAGUCCAGUCACUGUAUAUGGAAGUAUUUUAUUUUUUUUUUUAUAUCACUUGAGUCCACUAGUAGUACUUCCUUGCUCUGUUUGACUUGUCAGAUACAAAGACACAGGAUUAGAUUUUGGGUGGUAAAAUUGUGAUACGCAUGGCUGUUUAUGGAGUGGAACAUCUUAGCGAUGUGAGAAAGGUCAUUUUAGUUAUAAAUGUAAACCAGUUACUUUAGCACAACAAUAAAGAUGUUCUGGAAAUUAUUAUAAUUAUUUUAGUUAAUGGACUUGCCUGUAACAAGUGCUUAUGUUUGGAAUGUCCAUUUUAUUUUAUUUUCCUCUACAAUAAGGAAUCCCUAAAGUUAUGCCAACAAACUGGAAUUGGAUUGAGAAAGACAAAAGCCAGUGAGCAAGUGUAUUAGACUAAUUAUCUCUAGUAGGGAAUAAGCACUUAGAGCUAAUUUUUUAAUUUGGUUUAUUUGUUAGUAGCUCCCUGAUUGUCUGUUAAGCCCCUGGUUCCCACAGUUUGGUGUGGUCAGUCAACUUAAGAGACCUUUUAAUGCAGAAUCUUUACUUGGUUCUGAAGAGGAGGCAGUAGUUAAAAUUGCUUCCUCUUAAUGACUCUGAAUGUAUUGCCUGUGAUUCCAAAGUUGUACAUAAUUGUUCAGACCUCCUCCAUCCUUUUAAAUUGCCUGCUGCAGUAAAUAACUAGUUUGAGUAGAACUAGAUCCUGUCUAUCUAUUUGGCACAUGUUCUGCUGCCUGGGGAGUAAGCAAGCUAAAGGGAUGAGAAAGACCACCUCCCCCUACCCUGGAAAUUGCACUGCAAGGCAGGGCGAGAAUGGGGUAGCUGGCAGACCUGGCCUCCUUGUUCCCAGUCUUAGUUUUUCUGGAGAGAUUCAGUAUUCAGUAAAGAAUAGCAUUCAAUUAGUCAAAAAAUAUAUAUAUAACUUCUUCCUUUCCCUUCCCAUGAAUCAUUGCAGUCAUUCCCUAAGUUUCUUCUCUUUCUGUCUUUUUUUUUUUUCAUGGCUGCUAGUAUUUUAUUUUAGAAUCACAGACUCUCAGCUUAGAGAGUCUCAGUAUCUCAAUUAUUUGCUCUGUUCAAUACUUAACAAUACCUCCUCACUCAAUUCUACAUAACUCCAGCUUAGUCUUCCAAAAUUCACUUUCAUGAUGCCACUCAGCAUCUCAAAUACCUUUCAUUGGCUCUCUGCUGCCAAAGGAUAAAGGUCAAAGUCAUUAGCCUCAACAGUGGGCUUCAACCAGCCUUUGGACCUCAGCCCCAUUUAUCCUUCACAGAGGCUGGUAACUAGUCUCACUGCUCAGGCUGUGAGUGUUCCUGAUCUUGUGACAUUCUGUGCUGUGCUUUUACAUGGAACAGCUCUUUCCUCUCUCUUGGCCCAUUCAGAUCCUCCUCAUCCAGCCCCCAUCUGAAUCCUGUAACAGACACAACCACAUCUACACAGUUUCCACAUACCACUUGGAAUUGCUGGUUAUGCUGCAAUGAGAGAAUGUCUUUGUCUUUAAAUUGUAAGCUUCAUGAGGGCAGGGACCAUCUGUUUCUCUGUCUCUCCUCACAGUGCCUUGAGCAGUACGUUGUCUGGAAUGUCAGAACCAAUAAAUACUUGUGGAUUGAAACAAAAA